rnacentral:lncRNA from 1 species
UCGAGCAAGAUGCGCAAAGGAAAGAAGGCCAAGGGGAAGAAGGUGGCCCCGCAUCCCCGCACCGCCCCGGCGUCAUCAAGAAACAGGAGGUCAAAAAGGUGGUCAAUCCUUCCGUAAAGAGAUCUAACAUGCUUUGUCGAAUGGCUCUGCUACAUCAGGCUGCAGCUGCAAAGAGCCAUCCUCUAUAAGCGGCUCAAAGUACCUCCUGCCCUUAACCAGUGCUGAGAAGAAAGCAGCUGGCAAAGGCUAAGAGUCCCAACUAAGAGACCACCUGUCCUCCGAGCAGGAGUCAAUACAGUCACCACCUUGGUGGAGAACAAGAAGGCUCAGCUGGUGGUGAUUGCCCAUGAUGAAGAACCCAUUGAGCUGGUGGUUUUCCUGCCUGGUCUGUGUAGAAAGAUGGACGUGCCCUACUGUAUCAUCAGGGAAAGACCAGGCUUGGGC